rnacentral:rRNA from 1 species
AAGCUCGUAGUUGAAUUUCGAGGGUCAUUUGGCCGGGCCUACUUGGCUUGUCUGAGUGGGCAUUCUGGAUCCAAGGGCCCUGUACCACUUCCUGGGGAACUAGUCUACUCUUUAUUGAGUUGGGCUAGGGAGCCAGGACCUUUACCUUGAAAAAAUCAGAGUGUUCAAAGCAGGCAUAUUUGCUCGAAUACAUUAGCAUGGAAUAAUAGAAUAGGACCAUGGUUCUAUUUUGUUGGUUUAUAGGACCAAGGUAAUGAUUAAUAGGGAUAGUUGGG